GGCUUUAGUGGCGGACUGGUGAGUAACACGUAAGCAAUCUACCUAUUAGAGGGGAAUAACAAUGAGAAAUCAUUGCUAAUACCGCAUAAGCUUGUAGUACCGCAUGGUACAGCAAGAAAAGGAGCAAUCCGCUAAUAGAUGAGCUUGCGGCUGAUUAGCUAGUUGGUGUGGUAACGGCAUACCAAGGCAACGAUCAGUAGCCGGGCUGAGAGGCUCUUCGGCCACAUUGGGACUGAGAUACGGCCCAGACUCCUACGGGAGGCAGCAGUCGGGAAUUUUGCGCAAUGGAGGAAACUCUGACGCAGUGACGCCGCGUAUAGGAAGAAGGUUUUCGGAUUGUAAACUAUUUUAGUCAGGGAAGAAAAAUGACAGUACCUGAAGAAUAAGCUCCGGCUAACUACGUGCCAGCAGCCGCGGUAAUACGUA
rnacentral:rRNA from 1 species